UACGGAGGGUGCGAAGCGUUGUUCGGAAUUAUUGGGCGUAAAGGGCAGGUAGGUGGUCUUGUAAGUCUACUGUGAAAUCCCUGGGCUUAACCCAGGAAGUGCGGUGGAUACUGCAAGACUAGAGUGCCGGAAGGGUGCGUAGAAUUCUCGGUGUAGCGGUGAAAUGCGUAGAUAUCGAGAGGAAUACCAGAGGCGAAGGCGGCGCACUGGACGGCAACUGACACUCAACUGACGAAAGCGUGGGGAGCGAACAGG
rnacentral:rRNA from 1 species